CUCAAUCUAUACCAGCAUAGAAGGAUGGCUUCUUUCCAAAAGCAAUUAGCUGUUUUCAUGCUCCUCCUCUGGGUCGCUACAGUUGGGUCACCAAACAUGCUGGUUAUGGCUGUACGUGAUUUUCCAUUAGAGGUAGCUGCCAUGGAACAAACUUUGUUUCUAAAUUCACUAAUCACUUGCUAGAGACCAUGUCAAACAAACAACCAUUAUUUUCCAGAGGAGAAGACUAGUAUUUCUCUCGCUCGUUAAAUGGAUAUUUUUGAAUGUCGUGUGUACGUCAUUUAAUAAUAAAGCAAUUUGCAAUUGCUUCAGCUGUAUGUUGCAACAAAUCGCAUCGUCAAAUAUUUGUACUGUAAACAUGUCUUAAAUAUCGCAUGUUCUUGUGUCGUCUUUAAUUUGUUUCCAUGUUAUAUAUGUAUUAAUUAUCGGCGUAUGCAUUCCACAUUAUGUA